rnacentral:rRNA from 1 species
AGCGAACGCUGGCGGCAGGCCUAACACAUGCAAGUCGAACGAACUCUUCGGAGUUAGUGGCGGACGGGUGAGUAACACGUGGGAACGUGCCUUUAGGUUCGGAAUAACUCAGGGAAACUUGUGCUAAUACCGAAUGUGCCCUUCGGGGGAAAGAUUUAUCGCCUUUAAAGCGGCCCGCGUCUGAUUAGCUAGUUGGUGAGGUAAAGGCUCACCAAGGCGACGAUCAGUAGCUGGUCUGAGAGGGUGAUCAGCCACAUUGGGACUGAGACACGGCCCAAACUCCUACGGGAGGCAGCAGUGGGGAAUCUUGCGCAAUGGGCGAAAGCCUGACGCAGCCAUGCCGCGUGAAUGAUGAAGGUCUUAGGAUUGUAAAAUUCUUUCACCGGGGACGAUAAUGACGGUACCCGGAGAAGGAGCCCCGGCUAACUUCGUGCCAGCCGCCGCCGUAA